GGGUAAUUUUAUUAAGUUUAGAAAAAAAUAAACAAAAAGUAAGUUAUUUCUGAACAUAAGUAAAUAUGACAUAAACUGGAAUAUUUCACUCCAAAUGAAGUUUAAAAGGUCCCGUAGUUUUAACCAGUGCAAAGUGCCUUAAUGAGGACGAAUUCAUUGCAUUGUCUUGAGUUGUGGAUCCUGAUGACAUGUUUUAAAUGCAGAGGUUCAGAGGAUAAAAAAUGCAUCUAUUUACAUGUACAGUAUUUAGCACAACAGAAUAUUAUACAGUCUCCUAUCGCAGAGGGUCUCAGCGGGUGGGUCGGGUUAGUAAAGACUUAUACAGGAGCAAACCACACAUCAGAACUGAGACUAAACCGGGACUAAAUCUGGACCAGACCAGGACUAAACCAGGGCAAGUGUGUCUGAAGUCUUAAUGAUUGUAACAAUGACCUGAACCAGGUCUAAACCAGGUCUAAACCAGGUCUAAAUCAGGUCUAAAACAGGUCUAAACCAGGUCUAAACCAGGUCUAAAUCAGGUCUAAAACAGGUCUAAAACAGGUCUAAACCAGGUCUAAAUCAGAUCUAAACCGGGUCUAAAUCAGGUCUAAACCAGCUCUAAACCAGGUCUAAAUCAGGUCUAAACCAGGUCUUGCUCUUGAUCCAAACAGCAGUAAAUGUGGAGUAAUCCUUAGGUCUCAAAGUAUCUAGUCAAACCAGGUAGCAAACCAGGUCUAGACUGAGUAAACCAACUUGGACCGAACCUGAACCUGACCGGGACUAAACUAGGAAGGGAACAAGACCCAACCAGGUCUACAUCAGGACUAAACCAGAAUCUAACCAGGACAAAUGUGAUUUGUAAUCUUUGCAACAACUAAGACUGAACCAGGACCUAACCAGGUCUAAUCUAGGUCUAAACCAGGUCUAAACCAGGUCUAAACUAGGUCUUGAUCCCAAUCCAAACAGCACCAAAUAUGAACCAGUCGUUAAGCAGGUCUCAAAAUGCCAAUCAAACCAGGUACCAGGUCUAGACUUAAACCAAAAAGGCCUAAAACUGGGUCUGAAACAGCUCAAAAUCAAUCCCAAAAUAUAUUAAAAUGGGGACUAAACUAGUCCUAAACCAGAUCUAAAACAUAUAUACUGUGAACUUGGACUAAACCAGAAUUAAACUGGGUCUUCAGUAAUUUCCCAAUAGUUUAAAUGCAGGUUUUGGACGGUGAGGGGAAGAGGAGAGAACACAGAGAACACAAAUAUAAGUAGAUUAAAGCUUUGUUACCUGACCCACCGGUUGAGAAGCACUGAUUUCUACUGACCACAAACCAAGGUCUUACAGAAGUGGCUCAAUUUUGCAAUUGCAUUUUUAAGUGCUUUUAAAUUCAGUGACAAACACAUGUUAAAGAUGAUGGAGGCAGACGUAGGAAGGGAACAAGAUGAUGACUUUUUUUUUUUCAUUUACAACUUUCCGCAAAGACAAAACACAUUUCAAAUUUAAAACAGAGAAAAAAUCGUUCAACUCUUGCUCCAGUCUGCAACAAAACUGACCAAGAUCUAUACUCCCAUCAAGCAAAACAUUAUGACCACUGCAUUAGGACAACUUCAACAUGGCACUGACACAAUUCACUGUGUCUGAAAGAAAAAUCCAAACACCUAAAUAUACGUUAUACAUAGCAGUAUAUUGAAUGUACUCUAGAACUGAUUUAGUCCUGGUUUAGUCCUGGUUUAGUCCUCGAUUGGACCUGGUUUAGUCCUGGUUUAUUCCUGGUUUAGUCCUCGAUUAGACCUGGUUUAGUCCUGGUUUAGUCCUGGUUUAGUUUGUAGCAUGUUUAAGUGAUCAUAUUGUUUUGCUUGAUCCAUAUCAGACACACAAUGAAAAUGUGUGGACCUUUGAGUGAAUGAACCUGAUCUCCUUUAAACAGUCAUAGAAUCAUGUGUGGAGAGAAUAUGAACAUUUGCUAUUAUUUCUGCUUUGUCUUGAAGCUCUUCGUGCCUCAAAAUUGUAGUAAAAUAGAGGUUUUUGAAAAGUGCUUUGUUAAUCCUAACCAACUUUUACCACUGAAAAACACCUUUAACCCAUAAAUGCAAAAACUAUGACAUCUUAUUUACAUAUUCUCGUCCUUAUUGUCCGACCGCCUGAGACCCGAACCCAAACACAUCUGAAGCAUUCAUAUAUUUAUACAACUGAAGUGUUUUUACAGUAAGAUACAGUCUCUAAAAUACCAAGAGGAUUGUAUGGUUACAGUACAGGAUUUACUCUUUUGUUUUUUAUUCUUUCACUUUUCAACUUUAUUUUCAUACUGGGCAGUGGUUGUCAACUGGCAGGCUCGAAAUUACAACAUAAGUUAGUUUAUAUAAUGUAAAGUACAAUUAUAGUUUUGUAACACUGAUAGUGCCUGUACCCAAUAUUUCGUUAUGUCCCAGUCCAGAUUUACUGUAUAAACAGCUCUCGAGGUCAAAAUAAGUCCACUGUGUGCUGUGUGCGUGUAAUUAUAAAGUGUUUUAUUGUCUGUUAAUCUGGAAGUGCACGUUAGCAUGCUAGCUGUUGUCCUCUAGUUGUGAAAAGUGCUCAUAAACUUAUCAUGGUGAAUAACAGGCUCCGUACCACAGCCGCACGCUGACUAGCCUACUGUGUCUUAAAGCUAAAAGUCACUUUAUUAAAAUCAGAAAACAUAAAAUAAACAACCUAUUAAAAUAGAUUAACCCCUGACCUCUAACUCACCCCCUGAUAAAAAUGGUCGUAGUAAGAGAUGGUUUGAUGGUGAAGCUGUCAAUACUGCCCUGAGACAGACUAGCAGAAGUGUGCCGGCUAUUCUGUGCCAAUGGCGUCUCAAAACACAAAAUUACACCCAUAAUAAUAAGAACUAAACCAAAACGCCAAAGCUAAAAUAACUGGGUAUGAAAUGUAUUGUAUUUAUGGGGUGCAACUUCCUGUUCGCUGAUGCCAUUUUGAGGACUUUUGACCAUUGAAAAGAUAGGUAAUUUUGUUUUGAAUUGUUAAUCACUAUGACAACAUCCACACAUUUUCAUCUCUUUGUGAUCCCAUAGAUAAAGACAGUCCAGUAUUUAAUCUUAAGUGGGAAUGUUUCAAGAAAUAAGUGCAAGAAAUUUGACAAAAAUAUUAAAAUUGUUUAGUGGGAGACGAUAUGACAGUGAAUAAAAAUGGCUCCCAAACCGUCGCCCCGGUGACCACCACUGCCCAUAGAAGAAGAACAAACAUUAAACAAACCACACGUUAAAUGGAUGGAGGAAUCUAUGGCUAGUUCUGUAUAAGGCAGGAGUUAAAACGGGGAUUAUGUAAAGUCUUUUUGGCUUCGACAUUUCAUGGGACAAUGUUAGUUAUAUUAAGACAAUGAAAUGUACAGGCUGCUCUGUAUACACCCCAAACGCAGUGAUUCUCAAGUAGAGCCAGCAAAACCAAAAGAGCUCACAAGACGGCUGGAAAUAUACAGGAUUAAAGGUUCAAGGUGUAACUUUUCCAUGUGUGUGUGUGUGUGUGUGGGGAGAGGUGGGGGGUACCUGCUUGUCUCUAUGGAAAUGUUAUUGCUUUGCCUGGAAUGUUCCACAGCAGCUUUAAAUGUAUCUAUCUACAAGCCGGUGACCCCAUAGGUUUAAGUUUGGUGAUGUCACUUCCGGGUCCAUCAGGUGAUCAAAAAUAAUGUUUACAAUUUCCUCGUAUUUAUUUAGUGACAACCAAACUCUGUACAUAUAAAUGGACAUAGCUAACCUGCUAGCUGGCACGUUACAAACAGGAAGUGAUCAUGGGCGCACUUUCGGCUCUGGCUGCACUUCACUUUCUAUUGAAAAGCUGUGUCCCCUCUCUCUGUAACUGCAGCUGUCAGACUCGUCAUUUUUGUCUUUAAAUGUUUGUAUUAACCCGCUCUACAUGAUCCUGGGGUUUUUAUUUAGCUAUGUUGUCCAUAACCCAAGAUAUUAACAUUUCCUCUAGUGUUAGUAACAGGUUUAAGCUAACGUUAGCGGUGACCUGCAGUUAGUGAGGUGUACACACUGGUAAUCCAAUGUUAUGUUAGAUUAUUACUACAUUAUUUACAUAUUUGAUACAAUUUGUGGUUAGCGUGAAUUUUUGAAAGUUAAUAAAACUCUAAAUCAGCAGUGAAGUUGUCGGUCGGACCCGGAAGUGACAUCAUCACUUAACAAUCCCAAGUUAUACUCCUAUAACUGAGUAAAAACAAGAUUAUUUGAGGUUUAAUGCCAUAUUGUGGAACUAUCCCGGCAACACAAUGUCAUCUUAACAGAGAUUGAACCCUAAUCAAAGAAGUUACAUAAAAAAAAGAUUUAAAAUGUGCCAAAAACUUGUGGUAAAAUAAUCAUAAAGUCUAGUAAAACAUAGGUUAAAAUAAUUUGUAUAAAACUGUCACUUCCAUAAGUUGAGAAUCACUGCGUUUUAGUGAAUCCAAAUUUCAUUAAAAAUACAAUAAAAACAGAUACAUGCACUGGUGAGUCGUCUGAAAGCAGCGUGUAAAACUCUUCAGUGUUAGUUAUAAAGAGAAAAAGAGUGUGUUUUGUGUCGUUUUAGCAUAGAAAAUUAUUAUUACUUUGUACAAAAUCCACGUGUCCGUUCUGUCCCUACGAAGUGCAAUAAAAACGGGUUUGUUCAAGUCGAGCUGUUGCCAUUUAUAUAGUUAUAUCGUUUUUCCACAGUGAGUUGGAGAGAUCUGCUGGUGAAGCUAGAGGAACACUACUGCAGGUAAAGUUGGAAUAAUCUAGUUUUUAUUUGCCUAAAAUUGGCUUAAAAAUUAGAAUAUA
ensembl:lncRNA